rnacentral:misc_RNA from 1 species
GAGCGUCAUUACAGCCCUCAAGCUCUGCUUGGUAUUAGGGCUCGCCUGCUAGCAGGUGGCCUGUAAAAUCAGUGGCGGUGCUAUUCGGCUUCUAGCGUAGUAAUCACUUCUCGCUUUGGAGUACUGAUUGUGUGCCUGCCAGUAACCCCAAUUUAUCAAAGGUUGACCUCGGAUCAGGUAGGGAUACCCGCUGAACUUAA